CAGAAAACUUGUACACGGAGUCGAUGAAUCGGUCCAGCAGAUCUGAAGAGACUGAUUUCAGAGCUUUUGUCAAUUCCUGCAUCAGUGGCUGCUUAUUCCACCCAGUAACUGAAGAUUGCACCUGAAGGAUGGUACAUUUUGAGAUUAGUUACCUUGACGGCAUUAGGUGGAGACAAUGAGGAAGCUUGAUCAGCUGGGCUCUUCCCUAGAUGAAUGCAUCUAGUGACCUGGGAGCUGCACCCUCCAGCUCUGAACAUGGCUUGCUCAGGUUAUUCGAUCCUCUCUUGUCAGUUGUAAACUGUUACUGGAUGUUAUGCCUGCUAGUUCGAGCUUGUUGCAUUAUAAAGUGGAGGAGCAGUAAGCCAGUAAGGCAUGCAAGAACACAGACAAAUAUGGUUUAUCCCUUGCUAUGCAUCGGCCAUGGGGAGGAAUAAAAUGGUCUGAUUGGUUCAGACUAGCUUAAGAGCAAACACUACAGUAGAUAAGGAGCAUAUUCUUGAUGGUCUGUGGGUGCAAUAAGACAGGGUUAAUUAAUCAAGAACAAGUUGAUUAAUAUAUGGUCGCAGAAAUCAGUCUGGAAUCAGCUCAACAAGGGAUGCAAGUGCAACUAGGACUGAUUUAGUCAUGUAGUGAUGUAGAUCGUGAUUUGUGACCUGCGACCUUUGUGAUUGAUUUGCUGCUGGGUUGGCAGCUCUGUCCGUGCUAUGAGCUCGUGAAUGGAAGGAACACCAGUGGCGAAUCACAAUGACGCUCAUCAGGUCAAUGUCUUUUUUUGAUGUAAAAUCAGGACAUGUUAAUCACGAUGAUGCUCAUCAGGUCCAUUUCUUUUUUAAAAAGUAAAAUCUGGACAAGUUAAUCACCACACCGCUCAUUAGGUCAAUUUCUUUUUUUAAAGUAAAAUCAGGACAAGUUGUACCACAUGGAAUUUCAUUACGGAAGUAGUUCAAAUUAGGCUGGCUUUUUUGUUGUCUAAUCACUCUUGUUGAUAUGUACUCCUUCCGUAUUUAAACAUGUCAUUGUUGAUUUUAUUAGUUUGUGGAAAUAUAAAAAUCGUAUGGGUCCAUUUUUCCUUA